GACUGUACAAAGGUAGCAUAAUCAUUUGUCUUUUAAUUGAGGUCUGGAAUGAAUGGUUUGAUGAGAGAUAUACUUUCUUUAUUUUAUAAUAAAAACUUAAUUUUUUAGUUAAAAAGCUAAAAUAUAUUUAUAGGACGAGAAGACCCUAUAGAACUUUUUAUUUACAUAUAUAUAUACAAUUUAUAGAUUAUAUAUAUUUAAUAUAUAUAUGUAAAUUAUGUUGGGGUGACAUUAAAAAUUCUAUAACUUUUUUAUUUUUUAUCACUAAUAUGUGAAAGUUUGAUCCUUUUAUAUGGAUAAUUAGACUAAGUUACCUUAGGGAUAACAGCGUUAUUAUUUUAGAGAGUUCAUAUCGAUGAAAUAGUUUGCGACCUCGAUGUUGGAUUAUAAUAAAAUAUAGGAGUAGAAUAUUAUAUUUUAGGUCUGUUCGACCUUUAAAUUUUUACA
rnacentral:rRNA from 1 species